CUCAGGCUGCCCGGCUUCAGCGGCACGAUCCAUCCGGGAGAGGAGGGAGAUACCAUUCGUCAGCUGAUUCAGCUUGAACCGGAGAGGAGAGCAGACGAGAGGCGCGCUUCCUGGACCACACCAUCCCCGAAAGAUGAGGCUGAACCCUGGGCUGGAUCUCUGGAGACGUAGCUGUUCUGCUGCUGUGGCAUUUCUCCCAGAAAACGACCAGGGGGAGGCUGAAUCCACAGUUCAUCAAAUUCAGCUCCUCGUAGAAGAUAGAGGAGUAAAAUAGGUGCCUCCCUCCACUCCCACAAGAGUGAUGAGAUGCCUGUUUUGUCUUCUUCUUUUUUUUUUACGCCACGCAGUUAAUUUGGAGUCCAGAGGCUGAGUUCAUCAACAUUCUAAGUGAAGGAGUAGCUGGUCUUGGAUCACUGACCAGGUCCUUCAUGUGACCUUCUCAUUCAUUUUAAUUGUCUUUCAUACUCUGAGACACUUGAUGAAUUAGAUCCCAGUCAGUCUUCAUUAUCAUUUUUUAAAUUCAAUUUCACAUUAUUAAAACAUUAUUAUUUUUGUUGUCAGUGCAUUCAUAUGCAGCUAUAAGACUGACAUCAUGUUUGUUGUAGAAGUCCUUAGUCUUUGUCAACACUUUUAAAUACUGUUUUUAAUUUAUUAACUUCCUCACUGUCUUUAUUACUCUUUCUCUUGCGCCCCCCACAGUGAGGUCAAAAGUCAGACUUGACUACAGAAGACCGGGCAUGAAGCUAGUAGGGAUUCAUGCUAAAUGACACCCCAGCAAGGCCGAUGCUAAAUGUCAAGAGGGUGUAAUCCAGAGUCUUUAGUUUGGAGGACAAUCUCCCUCCUCACUGUGCCACUCCACAGCCCCUGAUCCUCUAAACACUGCGUAAUUAUACAUUCAUCAACUGAUGUGAUGCUGUCUCUUUAACUCAUCACAGCUACACAAAAAAAAGAGUGGAGACAGACAAGCGUGACUAAUAUGUAUGCCCUGUAGAGGGCAAUAUUGUCUGCUGCGUUAGGAGGAGUACUGAAAGGGCUGUUUACAUGUCUUCAUGUUUCUACUGUAUGAUAAUCUCUAUACUUGCUCAAGGUGAUGAAUGGGCAACAUAUAAAUUGUGUAACAGAAUGUUUAUUGCGCUGCACAAAAACAAAAAUCAGUCAGUUACAAUGCAAGUGAUUUGUCAUAUUCAUUUUUAAAUGUACUGUACACAAAUUCCAUUUCGCCAAAUAGAAACCACGAUGCUUUGUUGUUUGUUGUUGUUUGAAAUAAAGAAGAGGACAUCUUUG